UCACAUCUGUUUAUACAACAUGGCGUCUGCUGUUCCAAGUAUACGGCUCAACACUAGCUAUUCUUUUCCGGUGUUAGGAUUCGGGACGUUUGCAAACAGGAAGGAAGGCAUGAUGUUGCCCGCAGUUAAAGCUGCUAUAUCAUGUGGCUAUCGGCAUAUCGACACAGCUUGGUACUAUACAACGGAACCGGAAGUAGGUGGCGCCAUCAAAGAGAAGAUAGCGGACGGUACAGUGACGAGGGAUCAGCUCUUUGUGACAUCGAAGUUAUGGAAUACCUUUCAUGAGCCCUCCAAAGUUGAACGCAUGUGCAGAGAUUCACUACGUGACCUUCAACUUGACUACCUUGACCUUUACCUCAUGCACUGGCCGAUGGGCCAUGAAGAUAAUGAAUCUUCAAGAGGACAUUUUACUCAAGCUACAUUUGUCCCGACUGAUGUGGACUACUUGGAGACCUGGCAGGCAAUGGAAGAUCUGAUUGACAGGGGUCUGGUAAGGUCUAUUGGGGUUGCCAAUUUCAACCUGGGGCAGCUGGAGCGCCUCCUGAACAUGCCCAGCAUCCGCUAUCAACCGGCUGUGCUGCAGAUCGAAGUGACGCCAUAUCUCACCAACGAGGAACUCUUGGAAUUCUGCAGUGCUCAUGGAACUACAGUGACGGGGUAUUCCCCACUUGGCGGCCCGAAUAUGAUAUAUACACCAUCAAAUGCGCCAAGUCUGAUGGAGAACCCAAGGAUUGUGGAGACUGCCAGGAAAUGCGAUAAAACACCUGCUCAGAUUCUUCUGAGGUGGGGAAUACAGCGUGGCUAUGCCGUCAUACCCAGCAGUGUGAUACCCCAGUACAUCACAGAGAAUGUGCAGGUGUUCGACUUUGCUCUCAGUGGCGAGGAUAUGAAGAAGAUUACUUCUCUCAACCGCAACUACAGAUUCAACCCGACUUCCCAGUCAGUAUGCUCCUGUCGUGUUGUAGUGCUGCUCGAGUGAGUGAGGGAAUGUCAUUUAGUGCCAGUCUGCAGUACUUCAGCUACACACGGCAGCUUGAAGUUAUUGACCCUGGGACAGAUGAACCAGUGAUUGAUAUCAGGAACGUUUGACGCCGUCGGGGUGUGCUUACACGCAAACAACCAGGACAAGGCCCGACCAGCCAAUCCUCUUCCGGUGCACCUCACACGCAGCUUAGUGUCGAGGGACAUGGGAUAUACAUGUAAUCUCUCGAGGAAGAGAGAUCUCAAGUGUCAUGCUGUAUAUAUUCUAAUCAGAUUCAAAGAUCACCCUUAUUAUCCUUUCAAAUGAGACUGGACAUCACCUGGACGUUCGCCUUCCCUGGAAUACUGGUUCACGCCUAAAAGGAGUAUCAUAUAUACUUAGCAAAAUAAGUAAGGGAUCAUGACUCGCCGGAUAUUUUUGUGUGGUGAGUUUCUUUAAAUGUGUGCGGUGUAUAAAAACAUUUCAUGAUCCCUAACUUGUUUUGUUUAUUGAUAUCUGAUUAAAAAC